CUACGGGUUGCUGCAGUGAGGAAUAUUGCACAAUGGGGGAAACCCUGAUGCAGCAACGCCGCGUGGAGGAUGACGCAUUUCGGUGUGUAAACUCCUUUUAUCAGAGAAGAAAAUGACGGUAUCUGAUGAAUAAGCUCCGGCUAACUCCGUGCCAGCAGCCGCGGUAAUACGGAGGGAGCAAGCGUUAUUCGGAAUCACUGGGCGUAAAGGACGCGUAGGCGGGUUUUUAAGUCAGGUGUGAAAUCCUAUGGCUCAACCAUAGAACUGCACUUGAAACUGGGGACCUAGAGUAUGGAAGGGGCAGGUGGAAUUAGUGGUGUAGGGGUAAAUCCGUAGAUAUCACUAGGAAUACCGAAAGCGAAGGCGACCUGCUGGGACAUUACUGACGCUGAGGCGUGAAAGCGUGGGGAGCAAACAGGAUUAGAUACCCCAGUAGUC
rnacentral:rRNA from 1 species